CUCGUGCCGUGAGGUGUGGUUAAGUCCGCAACGAGCGCAACCCUCCGUGCUAUGUUGAUUUCUCAUAGCAGACUGCCUUGUACAGCAAGGAGGAAGUGGGGAUGACGUCAAGUCAGCAUGGCCUUUAUGACCCUGGGCUACACACACGCUACAAUGGGUGGGAACAGAGGGUUGCCACGAAGCAAUUCGGAGCGAAUCCCUUAAAACCAUCCUCAGUUCGGAUUGCAGGCUGCAAUCGCCUGCAUGAAGCCGGAGCUGCUAGUAACCGCAGGUCAGCUAUACUGCGGUGAAUACGUUCUCGGGCCUU
rnacentral:rRNA from 1 species